UUGAUCUUGGCUCAGGACGAACGCUGGCGGCGUGCCUAAUACAUGCAAGUCGAGCGGAUCAAUUAAGAGCUCGCUCUUAUGAGAUCAGCGGCGGACGGGUGAGUAACACGUGGGCAACCUGCCUUACAGACUGGGAUAACUCCGGGAAACCGGGGCUAAUACCGGAUGAUCAAUGGAAUUGCAUAAUUCUAUUGUAAAAGUUGGGAUUUAUCCUAACACUGUGAGAUGGGCCCGCGGCGCAUUAGCUAGUUGGUGAGGUAACGGCUCACCAAGGCAACGAUGCGUAGCCGACCUGAGAGGGUGAUCGGCCACACUGGAACUGAGACACGGUCCAAACUCCUACGGGAGGCAGCAGUAGGGAAUCAUCCGCAAUGGGCGAAAGCCUGACGGUGCAACGCCGCGUGAACGAUGAAGGUCUUCGGAUUGUAAAGUUCUGUUGUUAGGGAAGAACAAGUGCCAUUCGAAUAGGUUGGCACCUUGACGGUACCUAACCAGAAAGCCCCGGCUAACUACGUGCCAGCAGCCGCGGUAAUACGUAGGGGGCAAGCGUUGUCCGGAAUUAUUGGGCGUAAAGCGCGCGCAGGCGGUCUCUUAAGUCUGAUGUGAAAGCCCACGGCUCAACCGUGGAGGGUCAUUGGAAACUGGGGGACUUGAGUGUAGGAGAGGAAAGUGGAAUUCCACGUGUAGCGGUGAAAUGCGUGGAUAUGUGGAGGAACACCAGUGGCGAAGGCGACUUUCUGGCCUAUAACU
rnacentral:rRNA from 1 species